rnacentral:snRNA from 1 species
AGCUCUCUGCAGUGGCAGUAUCAUAGCCAAUGAGGUUUAUCCAAGGCGUGAUUAUUACUAAUUGAAAAUGAGCAGUGCAAGGCAGUGGACCUUGUGAGGAGUUGAGAUAUUUUCACACACCUGGCGACAGA